AUCCAUGUCUGCUGGAGAAUAGUGCAGGCCUUCUUUGCUGCAGUGGAACAGUACACAUUUUGUCCACCAAAACUCUCCAAUCCUUUACUGGAAACUUCUGAGCUGAGUAGUCCAGACAGAUUUUACUACACCUCACUGUCCACUUACGUAGACAAUACUUCAUUUGUGUUUCAGUGAGUAUGCUAUGGGAGAGAGUGUCAAAAACAUUAAAGUUAAGAUAAUCAUCAUUCACUGGUAUCUUUUAUGUCCACCAAACCAGUAAUCUCAGUGCAGAAGGUAUCCAGUUGGUCAAGUAUUAUGUCCUUUUGGAAACCUAUGCCAACUUCUCCCAGUCAUCUUCUUGUCCUUCUUAUGUUUGGAAAUGGAUUCCAGGAAGAUUGCUCUAUCACAUUUGCAGGGACUGAGGUGAGGUGUACCAGACUGGAGUUCUCUGGAUUCUUCUUCUGACUUUUGUCAAAGAGAACAGCAGUGUCUACUUUCGUACAGUCCCAUGAAAUCUUCUGAAGGCCAUUCUAUCAUUUUAUGAUGCUGUUACAUGAAGAUUUUCAAGAAAUUCCUGUGGCAUGACAGCUCCUCCCUGGUCUGGGUAUGUGGGAAAGCCUUGAAAAGGUCAGUCUGCAUACACCCCAUUCAUACAUCUGCUACUGGUACGGAGACAAAAUAUUGAACGUUGGAAGUGGAACCAUAAACUCAAUGGGCUAUUCAUGAGGGGAAGAGGGAAAGUGGUUGGUUUUUUUUUGUUUUUUUUUUUUCCCCUUUGUUACAGUAGACCUGUGCUCAUGUCACUCAAAGAUGAGUACAGUGAAACACCAGCUCCAACAUGACAGCCCUGGCUGAUAGUGCCAAACAUUGCAGUGCUCUAUGUAAUGACUUGGCUUGAUAUCUGAAAAGAAAAAAGAAAACAUUUAUCAGUUUCUUUUCCUUUCUAUUCUUGGACCGUCUAGUUUUUUCAGAAUUUUAGAGAGGUUUCUUUGACAUAGUCUGUAAGACGCUUUUUGUGGAUGGCCCUUUAUACUUAAAUGAAAUCUGUAAAUUCAUCUGAAUUUUGAACAAGCAAAGCCGCUGGGAAAUUCUAACAUCACUGUAAUAUCUCUGGUGAAGUCUUGUCUUGUUUAGGCUGUACAAAAAUAUUCCCUAAACAAGAAGAAGAAGGACCCAUGUCUGCAUUGUGCCUGGAUAAACUUAAUUUUAUGUGGAAGUAGAAAAUAACUAUUUUUGAAUUACUAAUGACAAAAGUGAAUUAUGAACUCUCAUUUUUUUCCUAAGUUUUUGUUAUUGAAGUGUGAAAGGCUGGAAAGGCUGGUGCAUACACUGUGAAAGUGGAUGCAUGUAAUGACUCAGUUUGACUAGAUGAUGGGAAUUUUAAAAUGAAAGAUGAUGACGUUAUUCUUCUUCAUCACUUCAGCUGGAGAAAAGGCAUCACAGCACAGGCUAAACCAAUGUGGUUUUAUGGGACCAUGGCUUAUCAGAUUUGCAAAAUGUCUGUGAUGACCAGAUAGGCAAACACAGGCCUAAAGACAUAAAGAUGAUUCCUGAGGGAGAGGAGGGGCCAAAUGCAGUGAGGACUGCGCAGAAGAAAAGCAGUUUGAGAGCUUUCUCUUUUCCAUGAAACAUUCAAGAACAUUUUAAGUUACAUGCCACUGCUUUGGAGAAUUAACUCAGAGGAGGCACUGUUAGCUCUGCAGACUAGCAAAAAACCCCAAAGAGAUGAGGAUAUUCAGAUCCUGGGGACACCAACCAACAACUUGGGUCAAACUUCCUUAAGAAACAGAACUGGAGGAGAAGAAAUAAAUUCAGUUUCCCAGUAAUCUAGCAUGGCUUUUUAACGAUGUAUAUGUGGGAAGAGGCAUCUUUAAAAGUUCUCUGGAAAUAAACAUUUAAUCCAUUAUUAAAACAGUCAGUAGUCUGAGUAACUGUUACUCUUGUUGUCAGGAAUAAUUUAGUAAUUUAGCAUUGUGUCUGUUGUCAACUUGUGGUAAAAGAAGGUUGAGUUGAAGAUAGUUGUCAGUGACACAAAGAGCAGUGAACUGUACAGCAGGAGUACUAAAGAAACGCUUUUGUAAGUGUCAAACAGCAAAGUUCCUUCUGACAAAGAUGGAGACCUCACCACCAGCACUUCGUGUCUUCUUUUCAAAGGAAGUUUUUCACACAGAGGGUGGUGACGCACUGGAACAGGUUGCCCAAGGAAGUUGUGGAUGCCCCAUCCCUGGAGACGUUCACUGAGUGGGUUUCAUCUCAUGCUGAAAUGAAUAUUCCCAUUACAGUUUCCUGUUGCUAACAAAAGUAAAUAGGCACUUUGAAUAUCUAUUGAAGACAAACUGUGCUUCCCAAGUCUCCUUUUAUCUCUGAUGUUAAUCAAGGAAAUACAGAUAACUGGUGAAGGUUUAAUACAGCAUUUACAGUCAGCAACAUUCUUCAUCAACGGGACAUUGCUUCAAAGCCUUAAUAAAAUCGCUUGGGAUGUUUAAAAAGAUCUCACUCCUACUCAAUUUAUUUUGGAACACAAUAAAAGAAAAAAAAUCUUACUAGACCAGAAAAGAGACAGUAAAAAUAUGCUUAUUCCAGAUCAAGUGACAUCAUGGAUAAGCCUUCUAGCAAGUCUAAUAGGGAAGACCAGGAAGUAUUCAACUAUGGCUUCCCAGCACCCAAAGGACAGAGUCAUUUGAUGCACCUGAGCUUCUUGUGACAAAAGAGGGCUGGAGUAUGUGGCUGAGGAAUUUGCUCGCAGUCCUGUUUUCCUCACAUACCCACCGCAGACAUGGAAUUUUAGCUCAUUUGUUUCUGGCAUCAACCUGUAGCUGUAGCAACAAGUUUCAGGAGUGUUUCCCGGUGGUCUUCUUGAACCAGAAGAGAGAAGUGCUUAGCUCUGCUAAGGGGAGUUUUGCCUCCUAAAGCUGCAGUUGCAGUAAGAAAUAUUUAUUUAUUUUGUUCAAUUAUCAAUUUGGCAAAUGUAUUUCUCUCUCCAAACUGAUUAGUUUCUUUGUCUUAUAGCUACAAAAGCAAAUUAUAUUCUCAAGUUUAACAUUCAGAUUUUUCAACACCCCAGGCUUAAGAUCCUCUUCCCAAGGGAUCACUGUUUAGCAGUUAAUAUCAGCGGUAGGAAGAUGGUUGGAAUGGAUGACCGUAGAGGUCUUUUCCAGCCUUCAUUAUUUUAUUAUCAGAAUGUCACAGGAGCUGAGACUACAUGGCUGUAAAUCCUAAGCAGAAGAAAGACCUUCCCAGAAGUGCACCAUAAGGCAUCUAAACAACUAUGUCAAGAAGGGCUUGGCCUGAAGAACUCUUUAAUGUGUUUUCCAUUUCCAGUCACUUAUAAAUGAAAAUCUGCCUCAUCAUAUGCCCACAUUCCUAUGCUAAUGUUUCUGAAUCUCCCUAUUUAACAAAUGUUCCUCCACUCCAACUGUCCUGGACCUUAGAUUUGAAUCUAGGAAAGGAUCUGAAAGAACAUACAUAUGCACUCUGUCAGAAGCAGGACAUGCUGAUUCCAUGGUUUGCAUCUGGAGCAGCUGGCUGGGAAACCAUAAGCAAGUCAUACUUUCCACAUGUGAGCUGCAAUCUACAUCUGGCAUCUGGAGAAUUUGUCAUCUUGUUGCUCUUUCCAGAUGCAGCCAAGACAGUGACUGGGAUUUGAAAAGUUUUCAGGUUCUCUAAGGAUGUUGCUAGGAAGCAGGAAGAGGAUUCUGCCUUGCUGAAAACAAAAACCACAGGAUAAAAAGGAUAAUAAAAAGUAAAGCGUGGGACAAAAAGGACAGUAGAAACCUUUGCAUGAACCAUUUUUGGGUCAGUGAGACAGUACAUUUAUCACAUACAACAGAAUGGCAAAAGAAGUGGGUAUCAAAGGUGCUUCUAAAUCCUGAAGAAAAAAUAGCUUUCGGACUAUGUCAAAGGGCAGACAAAGGAAGAAAGCCUUUACUUUACUUUUUUCCUUGUAAAAUUUCCUUCAACUCUAUGUGAUGUGUAGAAACAAGUUGAUAUUGAUAUAAAAGCUAAUCGAUCCCCAAAUAUCACUCAAUUAUUUUGCUGUUCUCUUUGUACAUGAUAUAGGUUACAUACAUAUUCAUAGAUGAGCAGUAUAUAUUGUAGAAAAUGAGGGCAUUAUAAACUAUGAAAGCUGUGACCUAUUGUACUCCUGUCACUUAAUGAAGCAGUUAUUAAAAUAUAGCUGUGUAGUUUAUUAACAAUUUUAUACAUGAGAUCUUAACCCAAUACGUGAUGCCCUGCCUUAUAAGGAGUGCAUUUGUUCAACACUGUUCUGCAGUAUUUCAAAUAGAAUCUUUUUCACCUAAGUUGUCUUAAAAUGAGGACUAUUUCUGUCGAACAAUAAUAACCAGGUACAAGCACUGUCAGUUUGAAACACAGUGAAUCAAAAAGAGUUAAAAUGGAAUUUUACCGCUACCCGCCAGUAUUUCUGCUAUAUUUAUGGAUUUUAUUGUUAAAAUAAAACUUGAAGGGAACAAGGGAUUUGACUGAUUUUCUUUUUGCCACCUAUUAAUCCUGCAAUAGAUUUUGAAGGAUAUAUUCAGACAAGAGGAACAAUUAAAUGCCAAAAUGCUCUCAAUAACACAAAGAAAAUCUAUAAAUAGUAUUUUGAGUCUCUUUCAGUUACAGCAAAUGAUAACGAGAUAGUUGGAAUAUUUUCAAAGAGGGCUGUUUUGGUUUGUUUGCUUUUAUUGCUAGAAAUGUCCCUUUAACAUUCUAAUCUAAAAACGAAUUAUGCACAUUUUCUCACAGCUAAGAAGAACGAGAUGAAUUUUAAGGAAGUUGUUAGUGUCAGGAAAGCUUAUUCUGGCUUUGUCAUGAAAAGGUAGUAUGGCUGACAGUUUGCUUUGUGCUCUUGUUUUUUUGUUCUCUUCAGUGUUAUUGUGAGUUAAUGGGUGAAAACAAGAUCUGUAACACUGCUUUAAUAUAGAUUUUACUUGUUAUUUAAUGUACUUUGAAAAAACAGAAAAUACUACUCUCUCCAAACACAUGAAUCAUACCUGUGUGAUACUGUCUGAUUGCUGAUCCAGGGAACACUUUGUUAUGCUAAAGUUCCUCUACUGAGAUCUUAACAGAAGGUCGCAAGACUGCUGAUUACUGUGAGCUGUGGUUUGAUGGGCUGAUUAUUCUACUUAGAUAGUUGAUACAACUAAACUUAUUUCACCUAAAAUUCUAGCCUGUGUUUCACUUUUUACCUAGCAAAAUAUCAGCUUUCUUUUCAUUGAAGAAUUUUUGAAAAUGUGUGAGUUUUUUUAAAUACAAAUUCCCAGGUGCCAACUUGAGGUUUACCUCUAGAAUUUAUCUCUAGAAAAUUUUGUUCAAGUACUGAAUACAUGCACUGCUGCUGAGGGCUACAGAUGGGUUGACCCACCAAAUUGGAAAGAUACGGAUUUGAUAGGUGGACUGUUUCAUGGAUGAGGAGCUCAUUGUGAGUUUGUAUCCAAAGUGCUGGUUAGUGGCUCAGUGUCUGGAUGGAAAUUCUGCGGCAAGUGGCAUCUUUCAGGGAUCACUCCUUGGACCAGUGCUCUUUAAUAUCUUCAUCACUGACACUGACAGUUGGAUCAAGUGUCUCCUCAGCAAGUCUGCUGAUGACACCAAGCUGUGGGGUACGGUUGGCACACCAGAAGGAUGGAGUGACAUCCAGAGGGAUCUAGACAACCUUGAGUAAAGGUCAUGGAAGAAUGUCAUAAUGUUCAACAAAUUCAAGCACAAGGUCUUCUACCUAGGUCAAGGCAACAUCCACUAGCAAUGAAAGCUGGGGAAUGAAAACUCUGCCAGCAGCCCUGUCAAAAAGGACCUGGGGGUACUAGUGUUUGGGAAGUUGGACAUAGGCCAGCAAUGUGCCCUCACAGCCGAUAAUGCCAUCUGUAUCCUGGACUGCACCAAAAGAAAGAUGACCAGCAGGGUGAGGGGUGUGAUCUUGUCUCUCCUCUCUAUUAUGGUGAGGCCUCACCUGGAGUACUCCAUCCAGAUGUCUUCAGUGCGGGAGAGAUGUGAACCUGUUGGAGUGCAUCCAGAGGAGGGUCACAAGAAUGACAUAAGGGAUGGAACACUUCCCUAUGAGGACAGGAUGAGAGAGAUGGGGUUGUUUAGUCUGGAGAAGGCUCCAGGAAGACCUGAGAAUGGCCUUGCGGUAUUGAAAGGGGAACUAUAAGUAAGAAGGGGACAGACUCUUUAGUGGGAUCUGCCAAUAUAGGACAAGAGGAAAUGGAUUCAAACUAAAAGAGGGGAGAUUUAUAUGAGAUAUAAGGAAGAAAUUUUUUUAAGAUAAGGGGAGUGAGCUACUAAGGAACAGAUUGCCCAGGGAGAUGGUGGAUGCCCCA